rnacentral:rRNA from 1 species
GCACAAGCGGAGGAACAUUGUGGUUUAAUUCGAUGAUACGCGAGGAACCUUACCUGGGCUUAAAUGGGGAGUGACAGCUGUCGAAAGAUGGUUUUCUUCGGACACUCUUCAAGGUGCUGCAUGGUUGUCGUCAGCUCGUGCCGUGAGGUGUCGGGUUAAGUCCCAUAACGAGCGCAACCCUUACCGUUAGUUACCAUCAGGUUAAGCUGGGGACUCUAGCGGGACUGCCACCGUAAGGUGAGAGGAAGUGGGGAUGACGUCAAAUCAGCACGGCCCUUAUGUCCAGGGCUACACACGUGUUACAAUGGCCAGUACAAAGGGCAGCUACCGGGUGACCGGAUGCUAAUCUCUAAAGCUGGUCUCAGUUCGGAUCGAAGUCUGCAACCCGACUUCGUGAAGCUGGAUUCGCUAGUAAUCGCGCAUCAGCCAUGGCGCGGUGAAUACGUUCCCGGGCCUU